AGCGCGAGGCGGGAGCGCGAGGCGGGAGCAGGCCGCGACGGGAGAGGCUGGAGAUCGUGGGCUGCUGUGUCUGAGCGCUUCCAGUGAAGAUACAGAGAAAAAUGACACUGAUGCAGUGAUGGCCAGCUGGCAGAAAAUUUUGAGGGGCUAGCACGCUCCAGAAACAUGAAAGCAAUUAACAGGAAACAAUGUGAACAGCGUGGAGAGGUAGCUGCACACUGUACCUGUCUCCAUGGAAUUCAAGUUUCAUCACACAAAGCUCCCAUAAAUGCUGUAACAGGAGAGCAUUCCUAGUAUGUGUUACAUUUUGGAAGGUCUGGCAUAUGACACCCCUCCUGUUUUUCUCCCUCAAACAGCUGUAUAGAACUGAAGAAUUCCUAAAUUGGAAGGGAUCCACAAAGGACCACCCAAAAUUCAAACCAUAUGUCUGAGAGCAGCGUUGGAACACUCCUUGAACUCUGGCAGCCUGAGGCCAUGAUCACUGCCCUGGGGAGCUUGUCCCAGUGCCUGACCACCUUCUGGUGAAGAACCUUUUCCCUAUAUCCAAUCUGACCUUCCCCUGACAAGAUUCCACUGAUAUCUGCUCUCACCAUCUUCUUAUACCACUUCAAGAUUCCCUAAUGUGCAUUUCACAUUACAGUUAAAAUCCUUUAAUUUGUCCUGCUGUCUAUCAGCUGUGGGAUCACCACACUGUCAUAAUAAGAAAAAAAAUUAAUAAAACGAAAAAAAAACCAAACCCACCUCCAAGUAUGCUUGACAAAACCACAUGAAGAAAAGAAUGUUUAUAAAAAAUGUUUUUUACAGAGCACAUUAUUUACUUUAAGUAUUUACUUUUCAGUGAACUAUUGACAUGAUGCAAAAU